AGGAGCUGAGCUGCUUGCCACCAGCAGGGAUUGAAGUCCCCAUGGCCUUUCCCCUGGAGGUUAGCAUUCUGGAGGACAAGUGGGACUUGUUUUUUUCUGCAAUUCAAUGGAUACAGUUUGUCAUGGCUACUCUGAGCGUUAUAGGUUCAAGUUCACUUAUUACCUAUGCUGUGUUCCAGAAUAUACAGAAAUCUCCAGAGAUUAAGCCACUCGUUUAUCUGAGCUUCUCUGACCUGCUCCUGGGAAUUUGCUGGCUCACUGAGGCGCUUCUUUAUGGAACUUCCACAGCCUACAAGGAUGUUGUCUGCUAUAACCUGCAAGCAGUUGGACAGAUAUUCUACAUUUCCUCGUUUUUCUACACCAUCAGUUAUAUAUGGUAUCUGUACACAGAGCUGAGGAUGAAACACAACCAGAGUGGACAGAGCACAUCUCCACUGGUGGUAGAUUAUACCUGUCAAAUUGGUCAGAUAGCCUUUGUUUUAUCAAGCCUGAUACCUCUACUGUUGAUGAUACCUGUAUUCUGUCUGGGCAAUGCUAGUGAAUGUUUCCGUAACUUCAGCCAGAGUCACAGGUGUAUCCUGAUGCACUCUCCACCAUCAGCCAUGGCUGAACUCUUGCCUUCGGCCAACAUAGCCAUCUGCAGCACACUUUAUUUUUAUGGUAUCAUCAUUUUCCUGGCCAGUUUUUUACUCAGCCUCUUCACCAUUAUGGUCUUACUCAUCCAAGCCCAGAUAUUGUAUAAGAAAUUUGUGAAAUCAACUGGCUUUCUGGGAAGUGAACAGUGGGCAGUGAUUCAUAUUGUGGAGCAGCGUGUACGCUUCUACCCAGUGGCCUUUCUAUGCUGCUGGGCCCCAGCUAUCAUUCUGAUGAUCAUAAAGCUCACCGAGCCAUGGGACACCAAACUGCAUAUUGCCCUCUAUAUUCUCCAGGGGCACCUGCACUGUCUACUGAAAUUCCUCUAGGACAGCUCAUGCCUGAACCUGCGAAAGAGCUCGGAGGCUGCUACACAGUAGAUAAUCCUCUAGGUGCUCAGAGUUGGAUGAGGGCCUAGCAGUCAUGGCCAGCACCACCCACAGUGUCCCUGGGGGCGCUCCGCAGUCCAGUCUGGAACCUUCUGUCAGCCUGGUGUGAACUGUCCCACACGCAGCCUCUUCUGCCUGUUGUAAGGGACCUACUUCUUGCUUCUCUUGCUGUUUGCUGACAGUCUCUGGUCUUUCUGUGAGAGCUCACAGAGUAAACAUCAUCCUUCUCCUGGAGAGCUUCUCACAUAUCUCACAAAGUAGCUUUUUAAGAAAUGGUUCCUACUGUAGUCGAUCAAUAUUGCUAAAUACACGUGCACUGUUGUGCAGCCGAUCUCCGACUCUUCCAUGUUGCCAGACCGAAGCUCUAUACCCAUUAACCAGCAGCUCCACCUGGUACCUUGCGAAGCCCAAAGAGAAAGUGGGGUGCCGAGCAGGCACGAUUCCCAGGAAUCAGAACAUCUCAUUUCACGACUGCCGUUCUCACUCUCCCACUGAGAAGAGAGACUGAGGCUGCCUCAGGUGUACAGGGCCAUGAGAUCUCAGUCCACCCGUGAAGAUCAUUAAACCCGCAGCUUUUUAGUACGGAGAAGUGGCCUUUCCCCACACCUGGCGUGGAAGAUACAGGAGGAGUCGGAAGUGGCAGAAGACCAGGGGCCACCUGGCAAGCAAACCACACAGCCCCUGUCCUAGGCACUGCGGUUACACCAGUGAUAAAAAGUCUCCCCAGACCCCCAGAGGGAGCUCUGUCUUGCUGACACCUUCAGUACAGCCCAGAGAUGCCGACCCGGAGAUGGACUCCAGAACCCUGAGAAAACAAACUGCUCUUGGUUUCGGGGACCAGGUUUGUGGUACCUUGCUACUGGUACCGCAGGGAACUAACACAUGUUAUCAAACUUCCGGUGGAGGUUUAGAGGGGUGGGGGAUAAUGACACCUUGGAAGACUGGAAUGGAUACAAAAGGUAUUAGGUGAGUUUUUUCCUAGCUUCUCAGAACUCCAAAUAAUACAAAAAUAAAUAAAAUAGAAAGUGA